UACAGAGGGUGCGAGCGUUAAUCGGAAUUACUGGGCGUAAAGCGUGCGUAGACGGUUAUUUAAGUCGGAUGUGAAAGCCCCGGGCUCAACCUGGGAAUUGCAUUCGAGACUGAAUAGCUAGGGUGCGGUAGAGGGAAGCGGAAUUCCGGGUGUAGCGGUGAAAUGCGUAGAUAUCCGGAGGAACACCGGUGGCGAAGGCGGCUUCCUGGACCGACACUGACGCUGAGGCGCGAAAGCUAGGGGAGCAAACGGG
rnacentral:rRNA from 1 species